CUCCCCACGGUCCAGGUCAGGUUUUGACAGGCCUAUAAAAACAGCCAGCAGUGUCAGGUGGGUGGAUUACUCCUCUCUGACACUGGAGCUGUGUGAAACUCUGCUGAGAUCUGAGGCAUGUGUGUGGGCUGAAAGCUGGCUGAAGACAGUGUGUCGGGCAAGCAGGCCGCCUAAAGCCUGCAGGUGGACUUU